AUGCACUAGAUACUAACCUGACUGUCUGCUGCCCAGUCCUUUUUUGUACUGGUGCACAUCCAUGGCUGUUGGGUCCAGAAUGGUGCUAUAGAGACAGGCCCUGAGAUUUAAGCUCUGAGUGCAAAGUCAUUCUCUCAGGAGUUAUGACUCAGGGAUACAUCA